UACGAAAGGUGCAAGCGUUGUCCGGAGUUACUGGGCGUAAAGGGUGCGUAGGCGGCUUUUUAAGUUUGGUGUGAAAUCUCCCGGCUCAACUGGGAGGGUGCGCCGAAUACUGAGAAGCUAGAGUGUGGGAGAGGAAAGUGGAAUUCCUGGUGUAGCGGUGAAAUGCGUAGAUAUCAGGAGGAACACCGGUGGUGUAAACGGCUUUCUGGACCAUAACUGACGCUGAGGCACGAAAGCGUGGGUAGCAAACAGG
rnacentral:rRNA from 1 species